CGCCACUCGGCAGGAAACGCCGUUCAUAGAUGCAUAAAAACGGCGUUUUUUACGGCGUUCUGUGCCAGCUGUAACGGCGUUUAAAACGGCGUUUUAUUGAAAUUAUGCAGGGCACUCCCCAUGGUUCCCUCAUCCAAUUACUUUCAACUCAUUUCACCCAAUCAAAGAAGAGGAAGUGCAGACCACACUAAUGCAUCACCAAUUCACCUUGCUGCUAAGUGAUUGUCUAUUCAGUACCAGUGCUUGUCACAGUAUUGACUUGUAUUAUAAUCCCACUAUGCAUUUUGAUGUGUUUAAGGCAUGAUCAAGCAAACAAACGACAGAAUACUUUUUCUGAAACCUUAACUGUGGUACCUGUUAUGGCAGCUAACAGACACUCGGCGCAUGGCUCCUUUGUUUACGUUAGGGAUCAGCUGUUAGCGCUGCGCCCUGCAGCUGCGCUACCAGCAGACAGACCCUACGUCCCCAGUGAGGGAAGAGACAGGGGUGAUGUCUCCCGAGAAGGACUCCUUACACACCAUCUCUCCUUCCUGUAAUCACUGUAAACGUGAGAUCACUCCCUGAUAUGAUUGAGGAGCUAAUGACGCUAACCCGGUCACAGUGGCAGUACCCCGACACUGCCCGGUACUCCCUCUGUGAGUAGGCUGCCCGGCUUCCAGCUGCUGCGGCCGGACAAGACGAGAGACAGCGGUGAGAGGAAAGGAGGGGGACUGGGCAGUGUUUGUUAAAGACAGUUGUGGUAUCCCUGGGCACAUUGCUGUGAAAGAACAA